CGCAGAUGUUCGCCGACCCGCCGGCAUCGCGCAGCGGCGGAAGCUAUUGGGGCGGGAGCAGUGGGCUGGGCGGAGGCUGGAGUGGGCGCUGAGGCGACCGCCAUGGCGCUUCUCAAACUUUGCGACCAGGGCGAACUCUGUUGGAGAAGCUGUUCAGUUAGCAGGAGAAUGGGCCUCCAGAAGAAGCAGAGAAAUUUUGCUCACGGAUCAUUGCCAUGAGUCUUUUACUUCCUUUUAGUGACUGCUUCAGGGAACCAUGUCAUCAGAAUGCCCAGUCAGGUUUUGCUCCAUUUGAUGCGCUGAUGGAGUUGCUGCUAAUUGAACUGUAUCCUGAGCUGAGAACUCAUUUAGAUCAACUUAAAGCUGGUCAAGUUGGAGACUGCACAAAUAAAUCACCAGAGAAAUGUCUGUAAUAGUAGACAUGAAACAUUUGCCUCUUUUCCACAAAGAACUUGACUGAGAACCAUAUUGAUUUUUAUUUUAGUAACCUCCUUCUAGUUUUAUGUGAAAUAAGCAGAAUUGGGGGGAGGGGUCUUGAUGCUGUGGUAGACAACAGAAAUUUUUAAAAACCUGUUUAUUAAUUUUUAAGUAAUAAAAAUACUUUCAAAAGUUCAACAAUACAGAUUGAAAUACAAAUGUUAAUAUGUGAUGAGACCCUAGGAAAUAUUUUAAAUAUUUAUGAAACGGUUUUGUUUUACAAUGAACUAUGAAUAUUGUACAGUUAAUUUCCUCACUGAGGAUUCUGAACAUUCCUAUGUUAUUUCACAUGUACUGAAGAACAUUGUUGUACAAUGCUUUGUGUAAACUUAUUGUGAAAACUUUAUUGUCUUUAUUUUUGCCAAAGAUUUCCCAUAGUUUGAAGCAUUUGAAGCAAUAAAAUAUAAAAAAUUAAUCACAGUGCUUUAUG